rnacentral:SRP_RNA from 1 species
CCGGGAGUCGGGCGGACGUAUGUGUCCGUUAACCUGGUCAGGUCCGGAAGGAAGCAGCCACACCGGACGGCAGCGGGUCGCUCGGCUCCUUUUCC